rnacentral:rRNA from 1 species
AUGCUCCUCAAAAGCAAAUUCAAGCUGGCCACGGCCGUCGGCAUCAUCUUGUCGAUGCUGUCGCUGCUGGUGCACCUUUUCCUUGCAAAUUAUUCUGCCGGGGGAAUUAGUAAGUACAACUUGGACAAUGUUCUUCCAUUUGGAUCGAAGCCUCGACCCCGUAGGUUGUGGGGCCCAUUGAGUACACUUGAUCUCCUACACCCUUAUGCAAAACCUAGACAAUUGUACCCUGCUCCAGCUAAGGAUAAUGGUUUUAUUUAUGCAAAGAUUUACGGUGGCUUUGAGAAGAUACAGUCUUCAAUCUGUGAUCUUGUCGCCGUUGCCAGGCUCUUAAAUGCCACUCUUGUUAUUCCUGAGAUACAAGCGACAACUCGUGCAAGAGGCAUCAGUUCAAAUUUCAAAAGUUUUUCGUAUCUCUAUGAUGAAGAACACUUCAUUGCUGCACUUUCCGAUGACGUGCCAAUCGUGCGGGGUUUGCCAAAGGAUCUUAGAGAGGCUAGAAAAAAGAUCAAAUUCCCAACAGUAUCUCCUAAGAAUACAGCCACUUCAGACUAUUACACCACAGAUGUCUUGCCCAGACUUGUCAAAUCAAAAGUCCUUGGGAUAAUCGUUAAUGGAGGUAAAUGUCUCCAGUCAAUUCUUCCUGCAAGCUUGGAGGAACUUCAGAGACUUAGGUGCAGGGUAGCUUUCCAUGCUCUCAAGUUCCGUCCAGAAAUUCGGUCUCUCGGUAGCCAAAUAGUAGGAAGGUUGCGAGCAUCUGGCCGUCCUUAUCUGGCAUAUCAUCCAGGAUUGCUAAGAGAUACUCUAGCUUUUCAUGGUUGUGCUGAACUUUUCCAGGACAUCCAUACAGAAUUGAUUCAGUAUAGAAGGAAUCAGAUGAUCAAACGAGGAACCGUGAAGGAACAACUAACUGUUGAUUCAGUGUCCAUACAGAAAAAUGGUUCAUGUCCACUGAUUCCAGAAGAGGUUGGACUUCUACUCCAAGCAUUAGGUUAUCCAUCAACUACAAUAAUAUACUUGGCUGGUUCUGAAACUUUUGGUGGGCAAAGAAUACUCAUUCCUCUACGAGCUAUGUAUGCCAACUUAGUUGAUCGCACUUCCUUGUGUAGUCGGAGGGAGCUAUCUGAUUUAGUUGGCCCAGAGUCUCCUCUCUCCUCUGAUUUGCCGCAUCCUCCACCUCCCAAGAGCGAGAAGGAACUCAUUGAGGAAUGGAAAAAAGCAGGGCCUCGUCCGAGGCCGCUGCCUCCACCUCCUGCAAGACCAUUUUAUGCCCAUGAGAAGGAAGGGUGGUAUGGGUGGAUUGGUGAGAAUGACACGGAACCUGAUCCGUCGCCCAUUGAAUUUAGGAGGCAAGCUCACCGAUUGCUCUGGGACGCGCUUGAUUAUUUUGUUUCUGUUCAAGCUGAUGCAUUCUUCCCUGGGUUUCACAAUGAUGGGAGUGGUUGGCCAGACUACUCAAGUUUGAUUAUGGGGCACCGGUUAUACCAAACCCCAUCUGGUAUAACCUAUAGGCCUGACAGAAAGACUGUUGCUACACUGUUUGAAAAUGUCAGUGAUCAUCUGUAUCACCCACCACGGAAUUGGACAAUGGCUGCACGUCAGCAUCUCAAUAACAGUGCAGGCAUAGAAGGCAUCAAAAUGUCAGCUAUGAUGUCAAAACCUGCAUCUUUUCUUGCACACCCGUUACCGGAGUGCUCUUGCAGAACGGCGAAGUCACCUGUUGUCCAACCGGUGAAAGAUAAGCAUGGUGCGCUCCUUUUUGGAGGUGAAGAAGACUGCCCUGAUUGGAUGGUUCGCACCCUGGCAAUCGUGUCUACCAAGAAUAAUGAACCUCAAAGUGAGGAUUACGAGGGUGAGUUGCCCGAAGAUGAUCCUAGCCAAGACACGCAGCAGGAAUCCGAUAGAAGCGACACAAAUAAAUCCUCAGAGCAAGAUGAGGAGAUGGACCCCGAUGAUUGA